AGAGUUUGAUCAUGGCUCAGAUUGAACGCUGGCGGCAUGCCUUACACACGCAAGUCGAACGGCAGCACGGGAGCUUGCUCCUGGUGGCGAGUGGCGAACGGGUGAGUAAUACAUCGGAACGUACCCUGAAGUGGGGGAUAACGUAGCGAAGGUUACGCUAAUACCGCAUAUUCUGUGAGCAGGAAAGAGGGGGAUCGCAAGACCUCUUGCUUUAGGAGCGGCCGAUGUCGGAUUAGCUAGUUGGUGAGGUAAAGGCUCACCAAGGCGACGAUCCGUAGCGGGUCUGAGAGGAUGAUCCGCCACACUGGGACUGAGACACGGCCCAGACUCCUACGGGAGGCAGCAGUGGGGAAUUUUGGACAAUGGGCGCAAGCCUGAUCCAGCCAUGCCGCGUGAGUGAAGAAGGCCUUCGGGUUGUAAAGCUCUUUCGGUGGGGAAGAAAUUGCUUCGGUUAAUACCUGGAGUAGAUGACGGUACCCGCAUAAGAAGCACCGGCUAACUACGUG
rnacentral:rRNA from 1 species